rnacentral:misc_RNA from 1 species
CGCACCUUGCGCUCCCUGGUAUUCCGGGGAGCAUGCCUGUUUGAGUGUCGUGAAGUUAUCAUGGUCAUGAUCUUUAAUUAAUCAUGGCUUGGAUUUGGAGGUUUAUGUUGGCUUUCUUAAGUUGACUCCUCUUAAAUAUAUUAGCUCGGUGUCUUAAUACUUAGAGCGGUUCACGGUGUGAUAAUUAUCUACACUUCAACUAAUCUAAGUUAAGCCGGCUUCUAAUAGAUCCUUGGCGAUCACUUUGUGAAUUUGACCUCAAAUCAGGUAGGACUACCCGCUGAACUUAA